CCAAUCACAGAGCACCUGCGGGCGCUCACCUCCCCCGCUCGCGGGGUGGGGUGGGGCGGUCCGCCGUUUACAGGAGCCGCCGGUGCAGGAGCCCUCGCGGGCCCCGGCCGAGCCGGCCCCUUUAACCCAUUGAACCCUCUGCCCUGAAGCAGCUUCGUAUGGGGACACCCCUGCGAUAGUAACUGAGACAACUCUCAACAACGGAUAUCUUGGCUCUCGCAACGAUGAAGAACGCAGCGAAAUGCGAUACGUAGUGUGAAUUGCAGAAUUCCGUGAGUCAUCGAAUCUUUGAACGCACAUUGCCGGUCGACUCUUCGGAGGAGACCACAUCUGCCUCAGCGUCGGAAUACCCCCUCACGCACUCCCGCGUGGACCUGGCCCCCCCGGACUCCCCGUCCGGGCUGGCUGAAAUGCAGAGGCUCGUGCGCGGCCCAUUCGUGGCCCCGACUAGGUAGGUAGCUCGCUACUGCUAGGCGGAGGCUCGGUGUCGCGUGCUUUGGGCCCCAAAGGAUACCCAUCCAUUCAUUCGACCUGAGUUCAGGUGAGGCUACCCGCUGAACUUAAGCAUAUCAAUAAGCGGAAGGAAA
rnacentral:rRNA from 1 species